rnacentral:piRNA from 1 species
UAACAGACCAGCAGACAGGACAAAAGA